UCGGUGGAGAUGGAUAACUUCGAUCUCUCUGGAGCGACGUUCACGAUCCGACUACAACCGUGCAAGGACGCUGCGCCUUAGCGAUCGAUACACCAAUUCCAGUGGUUGAUCACGAUCUUGUUGAUCACAACCAACCAAACCACUAGGGUAAUUCCUGCACGCAAUCGAAGAACAUGCAAGAACAGAUAGAACAGGCACUCAAUUGCCAAAUAAUACAAGAAGGAUCUGAUAUGAAUCACGAUAACAAUAUGGGGUUUUGAAUCAAGUAGAACGGAUGGUCUAGUCGACACAUGCGUCUACAAGGAAGUAGCAAUGGCUAAACUUACAACAAAACAAAA
rnacentral:lncRNA from 1 species